rnacentral:rRNA from 1 species
AGAGUUUGAUCCUGGCUCAGAAUCAACGCUGGCGGCGUGCCUAACACAUGCAAGUCGAACGCGGCUUUCUCGCAAGGGAAAGCUGAGUGGCAAACGGGUGAGUAACACGUGGGUGACCUGCCUUCGAGUGGGGGAUAACGUUCCGAAAGGGACGCUAAUACCGCAUAACAUCCUGUCUUUUAAGAGAUGGACAUCAAAGCCUGGGACCGCAAGGCCAGGCGCUUGAAGAGGGGCCCGCGUCUGAUUAGCUAGUUGGUGGGGUAAUGGCUCACCAAGGCAACGAUCAGUAUCCGGCCUGAGAGGGCGGACGGACACACUGGGACUGAGACACGGCCCAGACUCCUACGGGAGGCAGCAGUGGGGAAUUGUUCGCAAUGGGCGCAAGCCUGACGACGCAACGCCGCGUGGAGGAUGAAGAUUUUCGGAUCGUAAACUCCUUUCGAUCGAGACGAAUGGCUUUCGGGUUAAUAGCCUGGAAGAAUGACGGUACCGAGAGAAGAAGCCCCGGCUAACUCCGUGCCAGCAGCCGCGGUAAUACGGGGGGGGCAAGCGUUGUUCGGAAUUACUGGGCGUAAAGGGCUCGUAGGUGGCCAACUAAGUCAAACGUGAAAUCCCUCGGC